AGUUUAGUGUAAGUAUGUCCCAUACAGUGUUUGAGACAUAUGUGUACUAAAA
rnacentral:miRNA from 1 species